rnacentral:rRNA from 1 species
AGAGUUUGAUCCUGGCUCAGGACGAACGCUGGCGGCGUGCCUAACACAUGCAAGUCGAGCGGAGGUAUAUACGAAGAAGUUUUCGGACGGAAUUGUAUAUACUUUAGCGGCGGACGGGUGAGUAACGCGUGAGCAACCUGCCUUUCACAGGGGGAUAAGGCGGCGAAAGCCGCUCUAAUACCGCAUGAGACCACAGUGGUGAUGCUACAGGGGUCAAAGGAGCAAUCCGGUGAAAGAUGGGCUCGCGUCCGAUUAGGUAGUUGGUGGGGUAAUGGCCCACCAAGCCCGUGAUCGGUAGCCGGCCUGAGAGGGUGAACGGCCACAUUGGAACUGAGACACGGUCCAAACUCCUACGGGAGGCAGCAGUGAGGAAUAUUGGUCAAUGAGCGAGAGCUUGAACCAGCCACGUCGCGUGCAGGAAGAAUGUCUUAUGGAUUGUAAACUGCUUUUUCGGUAGAGUAAUGUGCGUCACGUGUGACGUAUUGCAAGUAUACCGAGAAUAAGGAUCGGCUAACUCCGUGCCAGCAGCCGCGGUAAUACGGAGGAUCCGAGCGUUAUCCGGAUUUAUUGGGUUUAAAGGGUACGUAGGCGGGAUGAUAAGUCAGCGGUGAAAUUUUGCAGCUUAACUGUAACAGUGCCGUUGAUACUGUUUGGCUAGGAUUUGGUUGUAGUGUGCGGAAUGUGUGGUGUAGCGGUGAAAUGCUUAGAUAUCACACAGAGCACCGAUUGCGAAGGCAGCACACUAAGUCAUUAUUGACGCUGAGGCACGAAAGUGUGGGGAUCAAACAGGAUUAGAUACCCUGGUAGUCCACACUGUAAACGAUGAUAACUCGCUGUCGGCGAUACACAGUCGGUGGCCAAGCGAAAGCAUUAAGUUAUCCACCUGGGGAGUACGACCGCAAGGUUGAAACUCAAAGGAAUAGACGGGGGCCCGCACAAGCGGAGGAACAUGUGGUUUAAUUCGAUGAUACGCGAGGAACCUUACCCGGGCUCGAACGGUGCAUGAAUAUACGAGAGAUUGUAUAGUCCUUCGGGACAUGUAUCGAGGUGCUGCAUGGUUGUCGUCAGCUCGUGCCGUGAGGUGUCGGCUUAAGUGCUAUAACGAGCGCAACCCUCGCCGUUAGUUGCCAUCGGGUCAUGCCGGGCACUCUAUUGGGACUGCCACCGUAAGGUGUGAGGAAGGGGGGGAGGACGUCAAAUCAGCACGGCCCUUAUGUCCGGGGCGACACACGUGUUACAAUGGGAGGUACAGAGGGCAGCUAUCCGGUGACGGAAUGCUAAUCUCCAAAACCUUUCUCAGUUCGGAUUGGAGUGUGCAACUCGACUCCACGAAGGUGGAUUCGCUAGUAAUCGCGCAUCAGCCAUGGCGCGGUGA